rnacentral:rRNA from 1 species
UGGGGAAUAUUGGACAAUGGGCGCAAGCCUGAUCCAGCCAUGCCGCGUGAGUGAUGAAGGCCUUAGGGUUGUAAAGCUCUUUUAUCCGGGACGAUAAUGACGGUACCGGAGGAAUAAGCCCCGGCUNNGGCCGUG